GUGGGGAAUAUUGGACAAUGGGCGCAAGCCUGAUCCAGCCAUGCCGCGUGAGUGAUGAAGGCCCUAGGGUUGUAAAGCUCUUUCAGUGGGGACGAUAAUGACGGUACCCACAGAAGAAGCCCCGGCUAACUUCGUGCCAGCAGCCGCGGUAAUACGUAGGGGGCUAGCGUUGUUCGGAUUUACUGGGCGUAAAGCGCACGUAGGCGGAUCGUUAAGUCGAGGGUGAAAUCCUGGAGCUCAACUCCGGAACUGCCUUCGAUACUGGCGAUCUUGAGUCCGGAAGAGGUGAGUGGAACUCCUAGUGUAGAGGUGGAAUUCGUAGAUAUUAGGAAGAACACCAGUGGCGAAGGCGGCUCACUGGUCCGGUACUGACGCUGAGGUGCGAAAGCGUGGGGAGCAAACAGGAUUAGAUACCCGAGUAGUCC
rnacentral:rRNA from 1 species